GUAGGGUGCGAGCGUUAAUCGGAAUUACUGGGCGUAAAGUGUGCGCAGGCCGCCGAGCAAGUCGAGUGUGAAAGCCCCGAGCUUAACUUGGGAACUGCGCUCGAAACUACUUGGCUAGAGUGUGGCAGAGGGAGGUGGAAUUCCACGUGUAGCGGUGAAAUGCGUAGAGAUGUGGAGGAACACCGAUGGCGAAGGCAGCCUCCUGGGCCAACACUGACGCUCAUGCACGAAAGCGUGGGGAGCAAACAGGAUUAGAUACCCUGGUAGUCCACGCCCUAAACGAUGAUGACUAGUUGUUGGAGGAGUUAAAUCCUUUAGUAACGCAGCUAACGCGUGAAGUCAUCCGCCUGGGGAGUACGGUCGCAAGAUUAAA
rnacentral:rRNA from 1 species